rnacentral:rRNA from 1 species
AACUCUCAACGGCGGAUCUCUUGGCUCGCGCAUCGAUGAAGAACGGGGCCAGCUGCGAUACGCGGUGUGAAUUGCAGAACUCGGUGAAUCAUCGAAUCUUCGAACGUAAAUGGUGCUCCCAGCACG